UAAAGCGUAAAAGAGCGUAGAGUGAAUGCCUUGGCAUUGGGAGCCGAUGAAGGAACUGAAGGAAAUAUUGGAAAAAUAAAAACAUUCAGAAUACCUAAACAAUCUAAGUAGGGCGAGGAAGAGAAAUCAAACGAGAUUUCGUAAGUAGUGGCGAGCGAACGCGAAAGAGGCUAAACCAAGAGAAGAAAUUCUUUUGGGGUUACGGACUGCGAUAUGUAUCUGAGGACUUAGCAGAAUGGUAUGGGAAAGCCAACCAGAGAAUGUGAUAGUCAUGUAUGCGAAAAGGAAUCAGAGCUAGCAGGAUCCAAAGUACCGCGGGACACGAGGAAUCCCGUGGGAAGUCGGGGGGACCACCCUCCAAGCCUAAAUACUACCCAAUGACCGAUAGCGAAAAGUACUGUGAAGGAACGGUGAAAAGAACCCCGGGAGGGGAGUGAAAAGAACCUGAAACUCUAUGCUUACAAGCACAUAGAGCACGUCAAAGUGUGAUAUGGUACCUUUUGUAGAAUGGUCCGGCGAGUUAUUGUAUGCAGCAAGGUUAAGGUCUUCAGGACUGAAGCCGAAGCGAGAGCGAGUCUGACAAGGGCGAUAAGUUGUAUGCAAUAGACCCGAAACCGGGUGACCUAGCCAUGUUCAGGUUGAAGUGGAGGUAAAGCUCCAUGGAGGACCGAACCGACCUCCGUUGAAAAGGCGGCGGAUGAAAUGUGGCUAGCGGAGAAAUUCCAAUCGAACCCGGAAAUAGCUGGUUCUCCCCGAAAUAGCUUUAGGGCUAGCGUUGUAUUAGAUUUCUGGGGGUAAAGCACUGAAUAGGCUAGGGGCCGAGAGGUUACUGAACCUUAUCAAACUAAGAAUACCAGAAAAUUGAUGUACAGCAGUCAGACUAUGUGAGAUAAGUCUCAUAGUCAAAAGGGAAACAGCCCAGACCCACAGCUAAGGUCCCAAAACAGAUUUAAGUGGAAAAGGAUGUGGGAUUGCCCAGACAACCAGGAUGUUGGCUUAGAAGCAGCCACACAUUAAAAGAGUGCGUAAUAGCUCACUGGUCGAGUGAUCCUGCGCCGAAAAUUCAACGGGGCUAAAAUUUGUACCGAAGCUUGGGCUUGAUACAUUCGUAUCAGGGGUAGGGGAGCGUCAUGUAUGAGGUGAAGUCAUAGCGGAAGCGGUGGUGGAUUGUACAUGAGAGAGAAUGCCGGAAUGAGUAGCGAGAAUUAUGUGAGAAUCAUAAUGGCCGAAAAUCUAAGGUUUCCUGAGGAAGGUUCGUCCGCUCAGGGUAAGCCGGGAGCUAAGGUGAGGCGGAAACGCGUAGCCGAUGCACAUACGGUAGAGAUUCCGUAGCCUCCGAAAAGUAAAGCACAGGGACGCUUCAGAAGUGUUACGCCGGGCGAUGGUUGCCCCGGUUGUAAAGGACACGAUUGAGUGGAAGGUAACAUGGAUGGAGACAAGAAAAGCUGUGUGUAUCUGGAAGGAGCCCGUACCGCAAACCAACACAGGUAGAUAGGAAGAAGAUUCUAAGGCCAGCGGGAGAAGGGUUGUUAAGGAACUCGGCAAGUUGACCCCGUAACUUCGGGAGAAGGGGUGCUUACGAAGGUAAGCCGCAGAGAAUAGGCCCAAGCGACUGUUUAGCAAAAACACAGCUCUAUGCUAAAUCGAAAGAUGACGUAUAUGGGGUGACACCUGCCCGGUGCUGGAAGGUUAAGAGGAGAUGUGAGAGCAUUGAAUUGAAGCCCCAGUAAACGGCGGCCGUAACUAUAACGGUCCUAAGGUAGCGAAAUUCCUUGUCAGGUAAGUUCUGACCCGCACGAAUGG
rnacentral:rRNA from 1 species